AUACAUGCAGUCGAACGAGGUUUGGUCAGUUUGCGUGUGGUGCUUGCAUCACCAAUUACCGAACAAACCGAGUGGCGGACGGGUGAGUAACACGUGGCCAACCUGUCCUUCAGCAGGGGAUAACAUUUGGAAACAGAUGCUAAUACCGUAUAACCACGGAGACCGCAUGGUCUCCGGGUAAAAGAUGGCGCAAGCUAUCACUGAAGGAUGGACCCGCGGCGUAUUAGCCAGUUGGUGGGGUAACGGCCUACCAAAGCGAUGAUACGUAGCCGACCUGAGAGGGUAAUCCUUCAUCUUGGGACUGAGACACGGCCCAAACUCCUACGGGAGGCAGCUGUAGGGAAUCUUCCACAAUGGACGCGCGUCUGAUGGAACUACGCCGCGUGUCUGAAGAAGGCUUUCGGGUACAACAAUUCUGUUAUUGAAAAACAACGUGUGUGACAAACACUGGAUCUGCCAUGACGGUAUACAAUCACAAGACCUGGGAUAACUCUUCGCCAGCAGCCGAAUUAAUACACAUGCGGCACGCGUUGUGCGGAUUUAUUGGGAGUCCUUUGAGUGUCAGCCUUGUUUUCAGUCUGAUGAGGAAGCCUACUUAUUGACCGAACAGCGGCACUGAAAACUGGAAGACUUGAGUGCAUUAGAAGACAGCGGAUCUCGCUGUGACGAGCAGAGAAGCGAAUAUAUAUGGCAAACCACCCUUGCCAGACGCAGCUCUCUGUACUGAAA
rnacentral:rRNA from 1 species